rnacentral:rRNA from 1 species
GGUUAAGCGACUAAGCGUACACGGUGGAUGCCCUGGCAGUCAGAGGCGAUGAAGGACGUGCUAAUCUGCGAUAAGCGUCGGUAAGGUGAUAUGAACCGUUAUAACCGGCGAUUUCCGAAUGGGGAAACCCAGUGUGUUUCGACACACUAUCAUUAACUGAAUCCAUAGGUUAAUGAGGCGAACCGGGGGAACUGAAACAUCUAAGUACCCCGAGGAAAAGAAAUCAACCGAGAUUCCCCCAGUAGCGGCGAGCGAACGGGGAGGAGCCCAGAGCCUGAAUCAGUGUGUGUGUUAGUGGAAGCGUCUGGAAAGGCGCGCGAUACAGGGUGACAGCCCCGUACACAAAAAUGCACAUGCUGUGAGCUCGAUGAGUAGGGCGGGACACGUGGUAUCCUGUCUGAAUAUGGGGGGACCAUCCUCCAAGGCUAAAUACUCCUGACUGACCGAUAGUGAACCAGUACCGUGAGGGAAAGGCGAAAAGAACCCCGGCGAGGGGAGUGAAAAAGAACCUGAAACCGUGUACGUACAAGCAGUGGGAGCACGCUUAGGCGUGUGACUGCGUACCUUUUGUAUAAUGGGUCAGCGACUUAUAUUCUGUAGCAAGGUUAACCGAAUAGGGGAGCCGAAGGGAAACCGAGUCUUAACUGGGCGUUAAGUUGCAGGGUAUAGACCCGAAACCCGGUGAUCUAGCCAUGGGCAGGUUGAAGGUUGGGUAACACUAACUGGAGGACCGAACCGACUAAUGUUGAAAAAUUAGCGGAUGACUUGUGGCUGGGGGUGAAAGGCCAAUCAAACCGGGAGAUAGCUGGUUCUCCCCGAAAGCUAUUUAGGUAGCGCCUCGUGAAUUCAUCUCCGGGGGUAGAGCACUGUUUCGGCAAGGGGGUCAUCCCGACUUACCAACCCGAUGCAAACUGCGAAUACCGGAGAAUGUUAUCACGGGAGACACACGGCGGGUGCUAACGUCCGUCGUGAAGAGGGAAACAACCCAGACCGCCAGCUAAGGUCCCAAAGUCAUGGUUAAGUGGGAAACGAUGUGGGAAGGCCCAGACAGCCAGGAUGUUGGCUUAGAAGCAGCCAUCAUUUAAAGAAAGCGUAAUAGCUCACUGGUCGAGUCGGCCUGCGCGGAAGAUGUAACGGGGCUAAACCAUGCACCGAAGCUGCGGCAGCGACGCUUAUGCGUUGUUGGGUAGGGGAGCGUUCUGUAAGCCUGCGAAGGUGUGCUGUGAGGCAUGCUGGAGGUAUCAGAAGUGCGAAUGCUGACAUAAGUAACGAUAAAGCGGGUGAAAAGCCCGCUCGCCGGAAGACCAAGGGUUCCUGUCCAACGUUAAUCGGGGCAGGGUGAGUCGACCCCUAAGGCGAGGCCGAAAGGCGUAGUCGAUGGGAAACAGGUUAAUAUUCCUGUACUUGGUGUUACUGCGAAGGGGGGACGGAGAAGGCUAUGUUGGCCGGGCGACGGUUGUCCCGGUUUAAGCGUGUAGGCUGGUUUUCCAGGCAAAUCCGGAAAAUCAAGGCUGAGGCGUGAUGACGAGGCACUACGGUGCUGAAGCAACAAAUGCCCUGCUUCCAGGAAAAGCCUCUAAGCAUCAGGUAACAUCAAAUCGUACCCCAAACCGACACAGGUGGUCAGGUAGAGAAUACCAAGGCGCUUGAGAGAACUCGGGUGAAGGAACUAGGCAAAAUGGUGCCGUAACUUCGGGAGAAGGCACGCUGAUAUGUAGGUGAAGUCCCUCGCGGAUGGAGCUGAAAUCAGUCGAAGAUACCAGCUGGCUGCAACUGUUUAUUAAAAACACAGCACUGUGCAAACACGAAAGUGGACGUAUACGGUGUGACGCCUGCCCGGUGCCGGAAGGUUAAUUGAUGGGGUUAGCCGCAAGGCGAAGCUCUUGAUCGAAGCCCCGGUAAACGGCGGCCGUAACUAUAACGGUCCUAAGGUAGCGAAAUUCCUUGUCGGGUAAGUUCCGACCUGCACGAAUGGCGUAAUGAUGGCCAGGCUGUCUCCACCCGAGACUCAGUGAAAUUGAACUCGCUGUGAAGAUGCAGUGUACCCGCGGCAAGACGGAAAGACCCCGUGAACCUUUACUAUAGCUUGACACUGAACAUUGAGCCUUGAUGUGUAGGAUAGGUGGGAGGCUUUGAAGUGUGGACGCCAGUCUGCAUGGAGCCGACCUUGAAAUACCACCCUUUAAUGUUUGAUGUUCUAACGUUGACCCGUAAUCCGGGUUGCGGACAGUGUCUGGUGGGUAGUUUGACUGGGGCGGUCUCCUCCUAAAGAGUAACGGAGGAGCACGAAGGUUGGCUAAUCCUGGUCGGACAUCAGGAGGUUAGUGCAAUGGCAUAAGCCAGCUUGACUGCGAGCGUGACGGCGCGAGCAGGUGCGAAAGCAGGUCAUAGUGAUCCGGUGGUUCUGAAUGGAAGGGCCAUCGCUCAACGGAUAAAAGGUACUCCGGGGAUAACAGGCUGAUACCGCCCAAGAGUUCAUAUCGACGGCGGUGUUUGGCACCUCGAUGUCGGCUCAUCACAUCCUGGGGCUGAAGUAGGUCCCAAGGGUAUGGCUGUUCGCCAUUUAAAGUGGUACGCGAGCUGGGUUUAGAACGUCGUGAGACAGUUCGGUCCCUAUCUGCCGUGGGCGCUGGAGAACUGAGGGGGGCUGCUCCUAGUACGAGAGGACCGGAGUGGACGCAUCACUGGUGUUCGGGUUGUCAUGCCAAUGGCACUGCCCGGUAGCUAAAUGCGGAAGAGAUAAGUGCUGAAAGCAUCUAAGCACGAAACUUGCCCCGAGAUGAGUUCUCCCUGACUCCUUGAGAGUCCUGAAGGAACGUUGAAGACGACGACGUUGAUAGGCCGGGUGUGUAAGCGCAGCGAUGCGUUGAGCUAACCGGUACUAAUGAACCGUGAGGCUUAACCUU